AUCGUGCCAACGGUAUAGCUGGUUAGCGGUGUCCGGUAGGGAUAAACGCUGAAAGCAUCUAAGCGUGAAACCCGCCCCAAGAUAAGGUUUCCCCGCCCUUGCUUGCAAGGGCCUGAAGGCCACCAGAAGACUACUGGUUUGAUAGGCCGGGUCUGUAAGCGCAGUAAUGCGUUAAGGUAACCGGUACUAAUCGGCCGUGAGGCUUGGCCAUAU
rnacentral:rRNA from 1 species